rnacentral:rRNA from 1 species
UACGUAGGGGGCGAGCGUUGUCCGGAUUCAUUGGGCGUAAAGGGCGCGUAGGCGGCCGCUUGCGUCGGAUGUGAAAGCCCGGGGCUCAACCCCGGAACGGCAUCCGAUACGGGGCGGCUCGAGACCGAGAGAGGUGAGUGGAAUACCCAGUGUAGAGGUGAAAUUCGUAGAUAUUGGGUGGAACACCGGUGGCGAAAGCGGCUCACUGGCUCGGUUCUGACGCUGAGGCGCGAAAGCGUGGGGAGCAAACAGG